GGGGGUGUAGCUCAGUGGAAAGCGUUCGCUUUGCAUGUGAAAGGCCCCGGGUUCAAUCCCCGGCAUCUCCA